rnacentral:rRNA from 1 species
AUUGAACGCUGGCGGCAGGCCUAACACAUGCAAGUCGAACGAGUGGCGGACGGGUGAGUAAUGUCUGGGAAACUGCCCGAUGGAGGGGGAUAACUACUGGAAACGGUAGCUAAUACCGAAUACCAUCGGCUGAGCCCAGAUGGGAUUAGCUAGUAGGUGGGGUAAAGGCUCACCUAGGCGACGAUCCCUAGCUGGUCUGAGAGGAUGAACCGCCACACUGGAACUGGGACACGGUCCGGACUCUUCCGGGAGGCAGCAGUGGGGAAUAUUGCACAAUGGGCUCAAGCCUGAUGCAGCCAUGCCGCGUGUGUGAAGAAGGCCUUCGGGUUGUAAAGCACUUUCAGCGAGGAGGCGUUACUCGCAGAAGAAGCACCGGCUAACUCCGUGCCAGCCGCCGCGGUAAUAC